AAAAAAAAAAUUAGGAAAUGUUAGGCAUGUACUUACUAGUUAAAAAAAAAAAAAUAGGGCACAGAAGAGCCUGGCUAGACUUUGAUCAAGAAGAGAAUCUUUAUCAGAUAUACUGAUUUAUGAAAAAAUAUAGACCAAUCUGUACAAAAAAAUACACUAGGUAAAAGAAGUCUUACAGAAAAGGUAUAUUUAAAUGAACUCCUGGGACAGGUAAGACUAAGACAACUAAACAAAUCUAGGGUUAAGGAUUCAGCACAGUAUAGAUGAGGAAUGACUGAAAAGUUAUGAGAGGUUUCUGGGGUGAUGGUAAUGGUCUCUAAGAAUUCAGGCUGUGCAAGUGUAUUUAACUGUCACAACUUAGAAUGGUAUAAGAUUUGUGUAUUUCAUUGUAUAUUAAUAACAAUGAAAGAACAGUAAAUGGUGGGGGGGGGGAUAUAGCUCAGUGGUAGAGCACUUGCCUGGCAUACAUGAGGCCAUAGGUUCAAUCUCCAGUGGAGCGGGGGCGGGAAGGGGGACAUCAGUAAACAUUGAACUCUGGUCAAGGAUAUGUAUACUGAAUGUUUAGAGAAACAAUAUUGAGAGCUGCAGUAAAUACAUCAGAUAUCAAACUGAAGUAAUGAAUGCUUAAUAGAUGUUCAGCAGCUAGUGUGGGUAUACAAGUGUUCACAACUCCUUCAGCCUGUAUGUUUGCAAAUUUUUAUGAUAUAAUGUUGGGAAAGAAGAAAGUAGUGUGAGUUUUCGCUUAGGAAACAUUCCUAAUCUUUCCUAACAUAAGUAGGGAGGCAUGUGCAAGUGCAGAUAGGAAAGCAGGUAGAAACAAGUGACUUGUCUGGAGAUGCCAUGUAAUAACUAGGGGAAUCCAUGCUGAGGCCUUCUAAUUCCUACUGCAGUGCUCUUGCCAUAAUAUGUCAUUUUCCCUUUUUUCCCAUUUUUCAAGUCAUUUUCCCUUUUUUUUUUUUUCUGGGUACUGGAGAUUGAACCCAGGACCUUCAAACUAAGCUACAUCCCCAGCCCUUUUACUUUUUAAAAUUUUUAUUUUGAGACAAGGUCUUGCUAAGUUGCUAAAUUGCCAAGGCUGGGUUCAAACUUGGCAACUCCUGCCUCAGCCUCCCAGAGUGCUGGGAUCACAGGUUUGCAACAUGUCCAGCCACUUCACUUUUUGUUUGAGUUUUACAACAGUAUCAUUGAGCAAACAGGGAUUAUUACACCUAUAAUCCCAGCUACUUGGGAGUCUGAGGCAGGUGGACUAAUUCAAGUCCAGUCUGGGCAACUUAGCAAGACCCUGUCUCAAAAAUAAAAAAUAGUAAGAGUUGGGAAUGUGGCUCUGUGCCAGGCACUGGGUUCAAAUGCCAGUACCUCAAAAAAAGAAAAAAAAAAAACCAUAGGCGUUGAGGUGUAUUACCACCCAGCUGGCCAGGGCUAGGAACAGGCUGAGAAGCCAGGUAGGUGUUCUGUUUCCUGCUUCAUCACAUCAUUGCCUGCAGGUUCCAGUUUGCCCAAGGCUUUUGUGUGGGAUGAGGGUUGUGGUUCUGAGGAGCCUCUGCCCUGUAUUUUCUCCUGGGUUGUGUUUCCACUCAAUCUUCUCUGGUGGAUUUUCUGGCUGACCAGCCCAGUUUCUGUUUCAGUGUCCCGCUGCCAACCGCCCCUGGUACCUCGUGCCUUCCAUGCUUCAGCCGUGCGACUAAGGUCUUCAGAGGAGCAGAAGCAGCAACCUCCCCCCUCUUUUUCUGAGCAGCUUUCUGAGACACAGGGGACAGAAAAACCCGAUGCAGAAUCUUCUCGCCCACCCCCCAGGUACACAGACCAGAGCGGGGAGGAGGAGGAGGACAG